rnacentral:lncRNA from 10 species
CUGGUUUCUUCUGCAUUUUAACAAUCCCUGGGGCUUUCUUUGGUUCUUUCUUUAUUUGAGUGAGGUUGAGAUCAUCUUUCUAUCAUGUCUCUGCAUUCAGUGAUAUCCAUAUUUAUCCAUGUUUGAAAAGACACAGACAUCAAUCUGGGUCUUACUCUGUCACGCAGGAUGGAGGCUGGAGUCCAAUGGCACAAUUGCAGCUCACUGCACCCUCAAACUCCUGGGCUCAAGGGGGCCUCCCAUCUUACCCUCCCGGAUAGCUGGGACUACAGGCGUGCACCAUCAUACCUGGCUAAUUUUUAGUAUUUUUUGUAGAGACGGGGUUUCUCCAUGUUGGCAAGGCUGGUCUUGAAAUCCUAGGUUCAAGCAAUUCUCCUGCCUCAGCCUCCCAAACUGUUGGGAUUACAGGUGUGAGCCACUGUGCCCAGCCUGCUGCUUUUUUAGAAAGAGGAGAGAAGGAUGGUCUAAAACUCCCAUUUUUUCUUGUCAUUCACCUGGCAACUCAGAGUCAGGAGGAAGAUGGGAGCUUUGAAGUGAGGUUCUGCUGCCCCACCCUGAGUUCCUCAGGGGUCACCUUCAUCUCACCCUUCCCAUUAGUUCCAAGUCCCCAGACUGAAGACAGCAGUUCCUGGAGUCAGUUCUCAAAAGAGUGAGUUCUCAAGGGAGAGGCCCAAAAAAAGGGAAUCAGAACCUGGAACACUUCUCCCCAUCCCUGUUCUGCCCCUCAUAGGAAUUAAACAAGAUGGAAA